GGACGAUUAGCUCAGUUGGCUAGAGCGUCACAUUGACAUUGUGAAGGCCAGAGGUUCAAGUCCUCUAUCGUCCA
rnacentral:tRNA from 1 species